rnacentral:rRNA from 1 species
UCAAGUUACUAAGGGCGUAUGGGGGAUGUCUUGGCAUUAGAAGGCGAUGAAGGGCGUGGAAGUCUGCGAAAAGCUUGGGGGAGCUGACAAACGAGUGUUUAUCCCAAGAUUCCCGAAUUAGCUCGUAGUGAAUACAUAGCUACGAGUGGCCAACCCAGGGAACUGAAACAUCUAAGUACCUGGAGGAAUAGAAAGAAAAAUCGAUUCCGUAAGUAGCGGCGAGCGAAAGCGGAACAGCCCAAACCACGGGGGUUUUCCCCUGUGGGGUUGUAGGAUCUUUCGUAUAGGAGUUACAAAAUUCUGGCUAGAGGAAGUGUCCUGGAUACGGCACGCCACAGAGGGUGACAGCCCCGUACUCGAAAGCUACGAAUCUCCUGAAAGACACCUGAGUAGGUCGGAGCACGUGAAACUCCGACUGAAUCUACGGAGACCAUUCCGUAAGGCUAAAUACUCUCUAAUGACCGAUAGCGAACUAAGUAGAGCGAUCGAAAGGUGAGAAGAACCCCGGCUAGGGGAGGACACUGAACCUGAAACCAUACGCUUACAAGCGGUCGGAGCACGAUUUAACGUGUGACGGCGUGCCUUUAGCAAAAUGAUCCGGCGAGUUACCGUUUACGGCCCGGUUAAGCCUCUCAGGGGCGAAGCCAUAGGGAAACCGAGUCUUAAUAGGGCGAAAUUGUCGUAGGUGGUAGACGCGAAACCUGGUGAUCUACCCAUGAGCAGGUUGAAGCGCGGGUUAAACUGCGUGGAGGACCGAACCCACUUAGGUUGAAAACUGAGGGGAUGACUUGUGGGGAGGAGUGAAAGUCUAAUCAAACCAGGAGAUAGCUCGUUCUCUCCGAAAUAUAUUUAGGUAUAGCCUCGAGCAACUAUUCAUUGGGGGUAGAGAGACUGAAUUGGAUGGGGGCCCUUCCCAGGGUACCCCACUGAACCAAACUCCGAAUACCAUUGAAACUAUCUCGGGAGUCAGUCCAUGGGGGAUAAGCUCCGUGGUCGAGAGGGAAACAACCCAGACCGUCGGCUAAGGUCCCUAAACUAUGCUCAGUCACUAAGGAAGUUGAAUCUCCGUGACAGCCAGGAUGUUGGCUUAGAAGCAGCCACCAUUUAAAAAGUGCGUAACAGCUUACUGGUCGAGAGAUUCUGCGCCGAUAAUGAACGGGAGUAAGCAUAGUACCGAAGCCUCGGACUCUAGUUUACUAGAGUGGUAGGAGAGCGCUGUAGAGCAGAUACAAGCCAUACCGUAAGGAGUGGUGUCGGGCUCUACAGGUGAUUAUGCCGGAAUGAGUAACGAUAAAACAGGUGAGAAUCCUGUUCGCCGAAAGCCUAAGGUUUCCUGGGGAAGGUAAAUCCGCCCAGGGUCAGCCGGGACCUAAGGUGAGGCCGAAAGGCGUAGCCGAUGGACGGCAGGUUAACAUUCCUGCGCUACUGUGGAGAUCAAUCAUGAGUGCGGAUCGGUCAGCCCUGCGUAAGCACCAGCUUGCUGAGGCCCUUGAGGCCGCUGCAGGGGGCUCCGGUCCCGAGAAAAGCUCAUGUGGCAAAGCAGUACCCGUACCAAAACCGACACAGGUAGAUGAGGUGAAUAACCUAAGGCGCUCGAGAUAACGGAAGUGAAGGAACUAGGCAAAUUGACCCCGUAAGUUCGCGAUAAGGGGGCCCUACCCCUCGGGGAGGGCGCAGAGAAAAGGCUCUGGCGACUGUUUAUCAAAAACACAGCACUGUGCUAACUCGUAAGAGGACGUAUACAGUGUGACGCCUGCCCAAUGCCGGAAUGUCACGGAAGCGGGUUAGCUUCGGCGAAGCUCGUAACCUAAGCACCGGUCAAUGGCGGCCGUAACUAUGACGGUCCUAAGGUAGCGAAGUUCCUUGUCGGGUAAGUUCCGACGCGCAUGAAUGGCGUAACGACUGGAG